UUUCAGCGUCAAAAGACAUCACGUGACUAAAAAUGACGAAUGGGUAUCUUUAUUUUUAGUCACGUGAUGUCUUUUGACGCUGAAAAUGAGCGUUAAGCGUCAGCGUGAAAAGGCACCUUUACACAGAUCGUACGCGGACUCUACAGCCAAUCAAAUGCGUUAAAGGCACUAUGAAUCUCAAUGAAUCCGAUUGGCCGUCGCGACCAACGAUUCCUCUGAACUUGGAAGUGGAUCAGACCGGACGUUAUCACUACACCCCGCUAAGUGUUUCCAGGUAUCAUUUUAUCCUUGUUAUUUACUGAAUGUUAAACAAGGAUAAAACUACACCUGAGGACACUCGGGUGAGGAAUCUGAACGCAUCCUAGUGUCGCUCUAAACGGGCGGGCGAGUAUCUUCUGAUAGACCGUGACAACUUGUUCGAAUCUAACCUGUUACGCGAAAUUAGCCGACCGAAGCGGGUUACGAUCACGAUUGACUGUGAUUGCACAUAAUAACCGACGCACCUCGUCGUCGAACACUGCUACGAUAAACGACGAUCAUCGGCAAUCAGAUACGCUCGUUCGUAAAUUCGAUUUCGACGAACCACGCGAACUAUUGCGACACGACGCGAAGACGCUUGCAACGUUCUAAACCUGGCGCGGAAAGAUGGAGCGAGGUAAAGAUGGAGGCUUUGUCGUGAGAAGUGGAACCAAGGAGGAUAGAUGGCGUAAGCGGUCGGGAAAACGAACAGGUGAUCAAACCACACGAUUAUUAUAGUCGGAUAGAAACUUAAGAAUUAAAAUUGUCAGUUUAGAAGAUUUUCCUUCAAGAUUUUUGAGUUCCAAAUCCCUUGCAACUUUAAUUGUUAUAGCUCCGAUUUGUUUGUAAUUUGUUACAGAUAUUUUUUCACAAUUUGGGGACGAAAAUCAUCGACAUUAAAGAUGUAAAUUCGCUGUUGUGCAUCAGUGUCGCCCGAGAGGUAUUACACAUUUGGAAUUAUCUCCUUUCCGGAACCCCGUAUUUUAAUUAAAUGAAUAGCUUCGAGAGUGCGUUUUUGUUUUAUAUUGUAAGUCCAACAUUGGCAUCUUUAUUACGUUGUAAUUAAGUCAUUCUUUAUUUUUAUGCUUUUUAA